AUUGAACGCUGGCGGCAGGCCUAACACAUGCAAGUCGAACGAGUGGCGGACGGGUGAGUAAUGUCUGGGAAACUGCCCGAUGGAGGGGGAUAACUACUGGAAACGGUAGCUAAUACCGCAUACCAUCGGAUGUGCCCAGAUGGGAUUAGCUAGUAGGUGGGGUAACGGCUCACCUAGGGGACGAACCCUAGCUGGUCUGAGAGGCUGACCAGCGACCCUGGAACUGAGACACGGUCCAGACUCCUACGGGAGGCAGCAGUGGGGAAUAUACGACAAUGGGGGCAAGCCUGAUGCAGCCAGGCCGCGUGGAUGAAGAAUGCCUUAGCGUUGUAAAGUACUUUCAGCGAGGAGGCGUUGCUCGCAGAAGAAGCACAGGCUAACGCCGUUGCAGCAGCCGCGGUAAUUC
rnacentral:rRNA from 1 species